AAUCCAUUAUAAAGGUAUUUGUAAUUUACACUUAUAUUUAUAACAAUAACCAAAGUUAAAAUGCAUUAUGUUAUUUGAAGGUUUGUUUGUUGUGUUUUUAUGCUUAUUUUAAAGCUGUAUUAUUAGCAGAGUGUUAGUUUAGGAUAAGGUUUAUGGUUAGUAGAAUAAGUUGACUUGUAGUUGCAAAGUUCCUUAUAAUCAGUUGAAUGUCUGUUGGUGGAGCAUCAAAAUAAAGUUGUAGUAGAUAUUAAGCAGAUGGUCUACUAAUACUUGUUACCCUUUUAGUUUUCAUCGACACCUUGUUUUCUGUGUUUCUUCUGUUUUGUUUUAGUUCCUGUGUGCCCUUAUUUGGUUAUCCUCCUGGUCUUGUUUAGCUUGAUUAGUUUACUUCCAUCACCUGUGUUUAGUUAAUGAUCCUCAUCUGUCAAUGUAUUUAAGUUGCUCCCUUUCAGUCACUCUCGGUUCCUUUACUGUUAUAGUAUGUUGUGGUUUCCCUUGGUUAGCUGUCUGAGUUUGAGGUCCGUUAUUAAACAGAGUUUUUUUUUUUACCUGUUGUGUCGUUUGCCUUGCUUCUCAACACAACCCCUGACAGAUGACCGAACCACGUAAAAUGAACUGGCCUGCGGACAAGCUAUUUAACAUCCAGCAGGGUGGAUGGCCUUUGGAGCUAUAUGUGGAGGAGUUCCUGAGUGUUUUCCAUCUGGAAACCUGGACAAGACAAUGAAGGCACAUCCUCCAUGGCCCCCUAAAAGACCACCACCACCCUGGAGCCUUCCUGUCCUGUGUUGCUGCACCUAACAAUCCUCCAGGGUGUCCACCCUCCUACUCCUCUGGUUGGUGUCUAGCGCGAGGACGUGCUUUAUGAAAGGGAUUUGUUAGAAACCACUGGCCAGAUCUAUGGAUGUGAACAUCAUCACUCUUUUGAAAACAUCUACUCCACUGUGGGAAAAACUAACUUCUCAUGUCCUAAAGCCUGCAUGGUGUUAUUUUUUUCAGGUCAACCUUUCUGGAGUGGCCUGAUGUCACUUUUAUUAAAACAAGCUGAACAGAAAAAGCAAUCAUGUGAGCUUUAUAGCCAUUAACUGUAACCUUUCCAUGCCUUAAGCUCAUGUCUGCUCUCUGUCUCGCUGUUCUGGUCAGAAUCGCAUAUACGACUUUGUUUUCAUUCCCAGGUUUAGUCAUUAAUUUACUUCCUCACUUCUCAGACCUUGAGUUUGUUGCAUUUAGAAGCUGCAUAUGAUCUGAGGCAAACUGUAGAUUUUAUAAUGCCACUCAUUUUAAGUAAUUCAGAUUGUGAUAUUAGUGCUCACAUCAAGUUAAUGUGGAUAUUUCUAAUG